rnacentral:lncRNA from 1 species
CAUUUUCUGAUGUCCAGAAAUGUGCAAGUGUCAAUUUUGUAUUUUAACUCCUUCCUUUUACCUGACUAUCAGGGAAGCGUGAUUGAGGCUGACCUGACAUGUCAUGAUGUCGACUUGCUAGGUGGGGUUCGCAAGGGACAUUAACCUUGGAGUUAUCGAUGCUGAAGGACAGAGACUGUGAUGAGCACUAUCAGUGUGCAACGUGAACUGAUGGCAGGUAUUCAUAUCUGGUCCUCGUAGUCUGACAUAAAUAUGGAAGCCAUAAGAUGCAGUGUGACUUCUGGCCGUGGAUUCUUCUGUUCUUGAUGAAUAUUUCAGUGUUGAUAGAAACAUUUGUUUUCAUAGCAUGUCCAAGAGCUGUUCUGCAGUGGAGAAGGUAAGUUCAUAGGUGUGGGCAGGGGACGGACAACCAAGGCCUUCAUCUGUUCUCAAGAGUUGUAUGGACAGAUGUUGGGCUGAUCAAACAGCUACUGAAACCAUGAAGAAUCGGGGCAUAUUUUUAUUAGUGGGG